ACACGUAGGAGGCAAACGUUAUCCGGAUUUACUGGGCGUAAAGCGCGUGUAGGUGGUUUGGUAAGUAGAGCGUGAAAGCUCCUGGCUCAACUGGGAGAGGUCGUUCUAAACUGCCGGACUAGAGGAUGGUAGAGGGAGGUGGAAUUCCGGGUGUAGCGGUGGAAUGCGCAGAUAUCCGGAGGAACACCAGUGGCGAAAGCGGCCUCCUGGCCCAUUUCCGACGCUCAGACGCGAAAGCUAGGGUAGC
rnacentral:rRNA from 1 species